rnacentral:rRNA from 1 species
AACGUAGGAGGCGAGCGUUAUCCGGAAUCACUGGGCGUAAAGGGCAAGUAGGCGGUAGGUUAAGUCAGGCGUGACAGUUCCCGGCUCAACUGGGAAAGGUCGCCUGAGACUGGCCAACUAGAGGGCAGGAGAGGAAAGCGGAAUUCCUAGUGUAGCGGUGGAAUGCUCAGAUAUUAGGAAGAACACCAGUGGCGAAGGCGGCUUUCUGGCCUGCACCUGACGCUGAAGGGCGAAAGCUAGGGGAGCAAACGGGCUUAGAUACCCCGGUAGUCCUAGCUGUAAACGUUGGAUACUGGGUAAUGGGGGGCAACACCCUCAGUGCCGAAGCAAACGCGUUAAGUAUCCCGCCUGGGGACUACGGCCGCAAGGUUA